rnacentral:rRNA from 1 species
UCUGGUGAUUAUGGCUUAGUGGUAACACCCGUUCCCAUUCCGAACACGAUGGUUAAGCACUAAAGCGCUGAUGGUACUGCAAGGGAGGCCUUGUGGGAGAGUAAGUCGUCGCCAGGUA